rnacentral:lncRNA from 1 species
UAUUUAUGCAAUGACUUUGUCUCAGGAAAUUUAAACUGUAAAUGAUACCCAAAGUGCAAGAUUCGUGGAAACCAUUGAUACAGAAACAUGACUGGAUUAUAGAUAUUGAAAUACCAGUACGAACUUGUCAGAUUUAUGACCGUUUAUUGAAUUUCAAAUGUCGACUAACAUAUGCAUUUUAUUUAUGCAAGCCCUUUGAUUUUACCCAUGGCUGUCUUUUUAUGUUGACAAACAGCAAAUGUUCCAAUACACCCAAAAAGAGUCAUUAAACAACAACUUUUUUUUAUUAUUAAGUUCAUGUUUUACAUGAUAAUUAUAUUUUCAUCUUGCAUAUAAAGUACCAACCCUAUUAUUUUCAAC